GAGGGAGACCUACUAAGUUAGUACUUGAAAGCAAUUAGCGAAUAGAGUCUAGCUGUAGUCACCUAAGGUCGUUGAGGGUUUUGUUUUUACUGCUGGUUAAGUCCAGACUCUUCCAAAUUAUUCAGGUGUUACGACGACAGUUAAUACACCGAGAGAGACGGGCUAUUAGCUCAGGUGGUUAGAGCGCACCCCUGAUAAGGGUGAGGUCCCUGGUUCGAGUCCAGGAUGGCCCACUUUCAUAUUCGAGAAAGCUAUUUUUGAGAUGAAUGGGGGUAUAGCUCAGCUGGUAGAGCGCCUGCUUUGCAAGCAGGAUGUCAGCGGUUCGAGUCCGCUUACCUCCACCACUAAUUGCGAACAAAGACUGCAAAGAAAUCGAGCUACGACAAAAAUCAGCAACUAGAGAUGUGAGGAAACACUUCAACAUCGUAGAUUGCUGGUCUUUCGGGACUAGCUAGAACCUUGACAACUGCAUAGAAAACUAUAAGAAAGCAAAGGUAGUUCAAAGUCUGUUGCAGACAUUUGAAAGAAACAAAGCCCAAUGAGCUGAGUAAAGCGGCUAGGUAAGUAAUAGAAGCUAUUUAAUAGCGGACGUUACCUAUUUGACUGAGAUACUCGGUUGCAUAAGCAAUCGAUCUUCUUCUAUCCAAAGAAG
rnacentral:tRNA from 1 species